GAGGGUGUAGCUCAGGUAUAGAGCACAUGCCUAGUAAACACGAGGUCCUGGGUUCAAUCCCCAAUACCUCUG
rnacentral:tRNA from 1 species